CUUAAUUUACUUGUUGUAAGGAUUAGUGUUUCAGUCAUUGUCAUAGUUUUAUUCCCAACGUUUUUCAAUUGAAUAUUGUAACAAGAUCAUUUUAUCUCAUAUGGAUCAAAUUUGAGUUUCAAUAUUAAUAUUUUUUUGAAGAAGGUAAACUAGCUCACCUAAAUUGGCACUUAAGAGAAUCGAACAUGAGAUCUCGAAAAGGAGCACACUCGAGCCAGAUCCAAAGCCAAUACCACCAGACCAACUAAGGUGGAUUUGAGUUUCAAUAUUAAUAUUAAUUUCGUUUUAUUGGAUUUUGGCCGCUAUCAGAGUAAUAAUAAUAGGACAGGAUAGCAGAGAAAAUCGUAGUCCUUUGAUACUUUUUCUCAUGAAACUAGAAACCAAAUUCAUGCCACAUUAAACAUAACAAGAAACAAAAUACAGCAU
rnacentral:lncRNA from 1 species